rnacentral:rRNA from 2 species
UGGGGGAUAUUGCACAAUGGAGGAAACUCUGAUGCAGCGACGUCGCGUGAGCGAAGACGGUCUUCGGAUUGUAAAGCUCUGUCAACGGGGACGAAUAAAAUGACGGUACCCGUGGAGGAAGCCACGGCUAACUACGUGCCAGCAGCCGCGGUAAUACGUAGGUGGCAAGCGUUGUCCGGAAUUACUGGGUGUAAAGGGAGCGUAGGCGGGAUGUCAAGUUGGAUGUGUAAUGCCGGGGCUUAACCCCGGAACUGCAUUCAAAACUGAUGUUCUUGAGUGAGGUAGAGGUAAGUGGAAUUCCUAGUGUAGCGGUGAAAUGCGUAGAUAUUAGGAGGAACACCAGUGGCGAAGGCGACUUACUGGGCCUUAACUGACGCUGAUGCUCGAAAGCGUGGGGAGCAAACAGG